rnacentral:rRNA from 1 species
UGCAAGUCGAGCGGUAGCACAGAGAGCUUGCUCUCGGGUGACGAGCGGCGGACGGGUGAGUAAUGUCUGGGAAACUGCCUGAUGGAGGGGGAUAACUACUGGAAACGGUAGCUAAUACCGCAUAACGUCGCAAGACCAAAGUGGGGGACCUUCGGGCCUCAUGCCAUCAGAUGUGCCCAGAUGGGAUUAGCUAGUAGGUGGGGUAACGGCUCACCUAGGCGACGAUCCCUAGCUGGUCUGAGAGGAUGACCAGCCACACUGGAACUGAGACACGGUCCAGACUCCUACGGGAGGCAGCAGUGGGGAAUAUUGCACAAUGGGCGCAAGCCUGAUGCAGCCAUGCCGCGUGUGUGAAGAAGGCCUUCGGGUUGUAAAGCACUUUCAGCGGGGAGGAAGGCGAUAAGGUUAAUAACCUUGUCGAUUGACGUUACCCGCAGAAGAAGCACCGGCUAACUCCGUGCCAGCAGCCGCGGUAAUACGGAGGGUGCAAGCGUUAAUCGGAAUUACUGGGCGUAAAGCGCACGCAGGCGGUCUGUCAAGUCGGAUGUGAAAUCCCCGGGCUCAACCUGGGAACUGCAUUCGAAACUGGCAGGCUAGAGUCUUGUAGAGGGGGGUAGAAUUCCAGGUGUAGCGGUGAAAUGCGUAGAGAUCUGGAGGAAUACCGGUGGCGAAGGCGGCCCCCUGGACAAAGACUGACGCUCAGGUGCGAAAGCGUGGGGAGCAAACAGGAUUAGAUACCCUGGUAGUCCACGCCGUAAACGAUGUCGAUUUGGAGGUUGUGCCCUUGAGGCGUGGCUUCCGGAGCUAACGCGUUAAAUCGACCGCCUGGGGAGUACGGCCGCAAGGUUAAAACUCAAAUGAAUUGACGGGGGCCCGCACAAGCGGUGGAGCAUGUGGUUUAAUUCGAUGCAACGCGAAGAACCUUACCUGGUCUUGACAUCCACAGAACUUUCCAGAGAUGGAUUGGUGCCUUCGGGAACUGUGAGACAGGUGCUGCAUGGCUGUCGUCAGCUCGUGUUGUGAAAUGUUGGGUUAAGUCCCGCAACGAGCGCAACCCUUAUCCUUUGUUGCCAGCGGUUAGGCCGGGAACUCAAAGGAGACUGCCAGUGAUAAACUGGAGGAAGGUGGGGAUGACGUCAAGUCAUCAUGGCCCUUACGACCAGGGCUACACACGUGCUACAAUGGCAUAUACAAAGAGAAGCGACCUCGCGAGAGCAAGCGGACCUCAUAAAGUAUGUCGUAGUCCGGAUUGGAGUCUGCAACUCGACUCCAUGAAGUCGGAAUCGCUAGUAAUCGUAGAUCAGAAUGCUACGGUGAAUACGUUCCCGGGCCUUGUACACACCGCCCGUCACACCAUGGGAGUGGGUUGCAAAAGAAGUAGGUAG